UACGGGGGGGGUAAGCGUUGUUCGGAAUUACUGGGCGUAAAGGGCUCGUAGGCGGCCAACUAAGUCAUACGUGAAAUCCCUCAGCUUAACUGGGGAACUGCGUGUGAUACUGGAUGGCUUGGAUUUGGGAGAGGGAUGCGGAAUUCCAGGUGUAGCGGUGAAAUGCGUAGAUAUCUGGAGGAAUACCGGUGGCGAAGGCGGCAUCCUGGACCGAGAUUGACACUGAUGAGCGAAAGCCAGGGGAGCAAACGGG
rnacentral:rRNA from 1 species